ensembl:ncRNA C02B10.72 ncRNA
UGAGAGAGAAAGAGAGAGAGUACGCGCACUCAAAAAAAUGUUUGUUUGCCUUUGUGUUGUUGCUCCGGCGAGCCCCACAUUUGUGACGACGUGCUGUCUUCUGACCCGCCCGCCGGCA